CAAAGCGAAACAAACCGUGCAUUUAGUAACGCUGAGUCUCGGACGGUGCAACGGUUUUGAUAAAAUGACUGAGAAGCGAUGGACACGUCGGUGCUUGCUGAUUGCUGGAGCCAUGGCGAAGUUUCUGUGAAGAAAGGCCACUGUAUUCACAGAGGGUAACCCCAUUGUUGAAGCAGGACCACAGAGUCCAUAGACGGCACCCUUGGGCACUUCACCCACCUUCUCUAAGAAGGCUGGAUUCUUCAACCUGCUGCUGCAACAACAGAAUGAGCUUCUGAUCCAGGCAUGACUAGACGAGGGACGAACAGGAUGAAACGCACCUCUUCUGUGGGGAGUGUCACAUACACCCUUUUUGCGAAGCGUCUGCAGGAACAGGAGAUUUUGGAGGCUGUCGAUUUCAUCUGAGCAGGAAGGAGAGACGCCAGUAGGGGGCAGGAUGUCAGUGUCUGCUGUAUAAAUGUGACGAACGGCGCUGACAAAGAGCACUGAGGGUGGUGCAGGACAUGGUGCAGAACGCCUUACCGAUGAA